ACCCCCAGCAAUGGGCACAGAGACACUUCAUUGGUGGUGGUGUUCUUGGAUCAGUCAGGGGCAGAGCAGAUGGCAGUCCCUGUUCAUCCUAGCUUGAUGCCUGGCUUGGUGGUCAAGGCUGUUUUAUGCCUAGGAAUCAUAA